rnacentral:tRNA from 1 species
GAGGGUAUAGCUCAGUGGUAGAGCACAUGCUUAGCAUGCACAAGUCCUGGGUUCAAUCCCCAGUAACUCCA